GUGGGCGUCUUCUAAUGGUCAGGAAAUCUCGUUGUGGUCCGUUUUCUUACCUGUACGAUACCGUGAAAAUGCCGGUUCGAUUCCGGCCGCCCACA